AGUCUCCACAACCAUGUUGGUUUGAUGUUUGUAAGCUUGAGCUAAGCUUAACUCACACAUCGUUGGGCACUAGAAGCUCCACAUCUGUUUUCAGAGGCAUUAUUAAUCUGAGGGUGUAGAUAUUGACUUGGUGGUUGAUACGGACCUGCACCCUUCCCUUGGUCGAGCGAAGAUUGUAUGUGUGUUGGGGGGCUGGGUGCGCGGCACGGCGGUGGGGCGCCGUGGUCGCGCGAGGAAGAAGAGAACGGUGGCGACGGCUAGGGCAAACUCUCGGCUCCCAAGGGAAGCCGAGUAAUAAGAUUUACUCUUGCUUAAUUCUGUCCACAGGAAUUACAACUCUUAUAUGUGAAUAAUUGCUUGAAUUAUGGAGAUAAACAAAUAAAGAUAAAUAUGGGCUGUUAGCCCCUAACUCCUGCGCCUAAACCCCUGGCCGAUGGUGGCUUUAGUCACUAAUGGGCCGGCGCCUCCUUUGAUACUGGACGCCGGUCAUAACAUGUCUCCCCGCGUCGACAAACAGCUCGUCCUUGAGCUGGACAUCGGGGUAGAGGGCUUUGAAGUCGUCGAGAGCUUCCCAUGUCGCAGCAUCAUCCGGAAGGCCGCGCCACUUGACCAACAGCUACCACUGGCCGCGGCGCAGCUGCGCGCGCACAACCUUCUCCGGGGCAGGAAGCAGGCGCCCCUCGGAGACUGGUGGCACCACCGCCGGCGUCACAGGAGGAUCACCAUGCCACUGCUUGAGCAGCCCGACGUGGAAAACAUCAUGGAGGUGUGUAGUCUCGGGCAGCUGUAGACGAUAGGCCACCGACCCAACGCGUUCCAGCACACGGAACGGACCAGCAUAGUGAGGAUGAAGCUUGCCCUUGGCCGACGUCGCGAGCGUGUGUGUGGGGCUGUGAAGAAGUCGGAGCGCACCCAAUCGCCCACAGCAAAGUCCACAACCCGGUGGUGCUCGUCGUAGCGCUCCUUGGUGUGUUGCUGUGCCUGGAGGAGGCGCUCUAGGACCUCGACUAGGAACGGGUCGCGGUCCCAGAGCAUGACGUCCACAUCCUCCGUCUCAGCCGCCCCCUCUUGGUGGGGCAAAAGGGGAGGUGGCGGGCGGCCGUAGACAAUCUCGAAUGGAGUAGCCCGAAGCACCGGUACGAUGUGUUGUAGCAGUAUUCCGCCCACGGUAGCCAAUCGACCCAUGAGCGCGGUCGGUCGCCGGUCGCAUAGCGCAAGUACAUGGCGAUCACCUUGUUGACAACCUCAGAUUGGCCGUCCGUCUGAGAGUGAAAAGCCAUGCUGAGCCGCUGUUUCACACCUGCAAGGCGAAACAAAUCCCUCCACAAGUGGCUAGUGAAAAUCGGAUCGCGGUCGCUGACAAUGGAGGUGGGAAAGCCAUGAAGCCGCACGAUCCCCUCGAAGAAAGCAUGGGCCACCGACGCGGCCGUGUAGGGGUGGCUGAGAGCGAUGAAGUGCUUGUACUGGGAGAAGCGAUCCACCACCGUCAAGAUGACCGACUUGCCAUGGACCUUGGGAAGGGCGUCGUUGAAAUCCAUGGAGAUGUCAGCCCAAACUUGGGAAGGCACAUCCAGAUGCUGUAGUAGACCGGCCAGCUGUGUCGUGGGCGUCUUAUUGCGCUGGCACACACCACACGUGCGGACGUAGUCUUGCACAAGCUUGCGGUCGCCGGGGAUGUGGAAAUCACUGCGUAGCCGCACGAGGGUCUUCUGGACGCCCUCAUGCCCGGUAGUGUGCGCCAGGGUCACCACUUGAUGGCGCAAGUCCUGCAGGUCGGGAACGUAGACUCGUUUGCCAUGAAGGAGCCCGUCCGCUAUGGUCCAGGGUCCCUCUAGCAUCCCUGCGGCCUGCUGCUGCAGGAGGCCGCAUGCCACCGGGUCCUCCCAGGUGGUUGCCCGAAUGUCGUCGUAGAGGGCGAAGGACGGCCCGGACAAGGCGAGCGCUGCAACUGCGUCCUCGUCGCGUCGGGACAGUGCAUCCGCCACCGAGUUGAGUCGGCCAAGGCGGUAUUCCACCGUGAAGUCAAACCCGAGCAGCUUGCUAACCCAUUGGUGUUGCGGAACAGUGGAAAGCCGCUGGUCGAGCAGGAACUUUAAGCUAUAGUGGUCGGUGCGGACGAGGAAAUAGUGUGUACGGCCUCCAAUGCCGGACCGCCUGCACUAGCCCGAUGAGCUCGCGCUUGUAGGCCGCGAGCUUGACGUGGCGGGUGACGAAGGGUCUGCUGAAGAACGCCAGGGGACCCGACCCCUGGUGGAGAACCACGCCAAAUCCUGCGCCUGAGGCGUCGCAGUCAAUGACAAACUCGCGAGUGAAAUCCGGCAUCUGCAAAACAGAGGCUGAUGACAAGGCCCUUUUGAGGGCGUCGAAGGCCUCCGCCGCUUCCGGCGUCCAGGCGAACGCCUUCUUGCGCAGGAGACAAGUGAGUGGUGCUGCGAUGGAGCCGAAGUCGUGGAUGAACUUGCGGUAGUAGCCCGCAAGGCCAAGAAAACCGCGUACGCCCCAAGGUGAACGCGGCGUCCGCCAUGCGGCGAUUGCAGCCACCUUGUCGCUGUCCAUAGCGACGCCGUCAGCGGAGAUGACGUGCCCGAGGUAGUUGACGGAGAGCGCCCCAAAGGAGCACUUGGACGCCUUGAGGUAGAGGCCAUGAGCCCUCAGAGCGGAGAAGACGAGGCCGACAUGCUGGAGGUGCUUGGACCAUGAUGAGCUGUAGAUCAAGAUGUCAUCGAAAAAUACCAGCACGAACCUGCGAAGAAAAGGCCAGAGGACGUCGUUCAUCGGGGCUUGGAACGUUGCUGGGGCGUUGGACAGCCCAAACGACAUCACCAAGAACUCGAAGUCGCCGUGGUGGGUGCGGAAAGCGGUCUUCUCGAUGUUCGUCGGGUGCAUGCGCACUUGGUGAUAGCCCGAGCGAAGGUCGAGCUUGGUGAAGAAACAUGCCCCGCGGAGCUCGUCGAGGAGCUCGUCAACCAUCGGGAUCGGGAACUUGUCCUUGGACGUCCUGUCGUUGAGCGCGCGGUAGUCGAUGCAGAAGCGCCACGACCCGUUGGACUUCUUGACGAGCAGCACAGGGGCGGAGAAAGGCGACGUGCUCGGCCGAAUAAUGCCUUGCUCCAACAUGGCGGCGCAUUGCCGCUCCAGCUCAUCCUUUUGAAGCUGCGGGUACCGGUAAGGCCGCACCGCUACCGGCGCGGUCCCUGGUAGGUGGAUGCGGUGGUCGUAGGUGCGCACGGGCGGGAGCCUACGAGGCUCGUCGAAGAUGGCCCCGUGCUGCUGUAGGAGUUGGUCCAGCAGUGGCCGCUGCUGGUUGGCCGUGGCCGUGGCCAGGCGCGGCUGGUGUGAAGAAGCACCCGGAGGACCCACGCACUGCCACGUGACGCGCUGGUCGCCUCGCUGGAAGGAGACGGUGAGGCCCUCGAAGUGCCACAGAAGAGGCCCCAAAGCCCCAGGAAGUCGACGCCGAUGAUGAAGUCGAAGCAACCGAGGGCGAGCCCCACACACGUGACGGGGAAGGACUCGCCACCGAUGAGGACGAGCACAUCUCGGGCGAUCCCUUCGCACGGCAAACGCUCCCCGUUUGCGACAGUGACACAGAGGUUGUUGCCGCCAUGGGAAACAAGCCCCAGGCAACGCAUGACCGUGCCCUGGAGGAAGGUGUGGGUGGAGCCAGUGUCCAACAGCGCGAGUAGGCGUUCCCCAUUGAUGGUGAUGGGCAGCAGCAUGGUGUGGUAGGUGCGGAUCCCUGCAAGAGCAUACACGAAGACAACCAGAGCAUGAGCAGCAGCGCCGUCUGGUGGCGCCAUGGGGCUCUCGACAGCGGCGUCCUCCGUCGUGGUGAACACGUCGUCAUCGAUGUAGUCAGAGGACUCUAGGUAGAAGACAUGUGGGCAGACGUGGCUGCGCACAUACUGCUCGUCGCAGUUGUAACAAAGUCCCUGGCGACGGCGCUCGAGCAUCUCCGCCGGUGUCAAGCGACGGAAGGUGCGGGCGGGUGUAGUGGUGCCUGUCGGUGUCGGCGCAGUAGGCAUGGGCGCUGUGGCUGGAGGUCCUCCCCCAGCGGGUGGGUGAGCCGAAGUAGUCGGCCGCUGGGGAGGGCGAGCGCCACGCUGUGCUGGUGCGGCGAGAGCUGAGGCCUUGCGUUCGAAGGCGCGCGCCAGGUACAUGGCUGUCUGGAGGUCGCCGGGGUCGUGCAUCUCCACGUCCACGCGGAUGUGGUCAGGCAGUCCGCCGAUGAAGAGCUCCGCCAUCUGGCGGGUGCAGAUGUCCCGGGUGUGAGCCAGGACAGCCUGAAAACGGCCUGCGAACUCCACCGUGGAGUGGAAGGGCAGCCAGCCCAGCUCCGCCAAGCGAGUACCGCGAAUGGGUGGUCCGAAGCGAAGACGGCAUAAGUCCUUGAACCGAUCCCAUGGCAGCUGGCCCUCGUCCUACUCGAGGGUAUAGUACCACGUCUGUGCAUCGCUCGUGAGGUGAUAGGACGCCAUCCAGGUGCGCUGAGAUGCCGGCGUGAGUUGGCCCCGAUAAAAUUGCUCACAGUGCGUGAGCCAGUUCAGCGGAUCGACUGAGCCGUCGUACGUCGUGAACUCGAUCUUGUGGAACUUAGGCGGACCGUUGCCCUGCGCAGAUGCAGGGGCACCCCCCGUAGCCGGGGUCGUAGUAGGGUGGAGCCGAGGGCGCCACGCCGCUGCUCGGGAUGAGGAGAGCGUCCGUGCCGCCGUAGAGGGUGCCCGACACCGACGGUGCGCCAUGAUCCGACAUGUGCAGCCGAGGGGGUGGUGAUGUGUAGACCGGCCCGGAGUAGGUCAGCACCCAUGCCGGGAUCUGGGACGUCGAUGACGGAAAAUGGAGCUGGUGGAUCGUGACGGACGACGAAGUAGGCGCGGUUGUCGUCGAAAGCCCGGCGUCGGCGGGCAUCCGGUGCCGAGUGGUGGAACGCGACCGACGGGGACGGCUGCGUCAGGAGCGGCUGUUGCGGCGGUGCGCCCAACUGCGGCGUCGAGUUGUUGUAAAGCUGUACCAUGGUGUCCAUCGUCAGCCGCAGCUCAGCCAAGCCGUGGCUGAGUUCAACGAUCGUGGCUGUCGUCUGCUCGGGCGAGAAGACGGCGCGCGGCGCCCCUGGCGCACCCUACCGCAGCAGCCGCGAAGUGGUCGGCACCAGGGCCGAUGUUGACGUGGGCCCUUGGAGCUGAGCAGAGGAGACGGGCGGCGCCCUUGUGGAUGAAGGCGGAACAGCGGUGGCUGAGGGUGGGAUCGACAUGGCUGAUACCAGGUUGAUACGGACCUGCACCCUUCCCUUGGUCGAGCGAAGAUUGUAUGUGUGUUGGGGGGCUGGGUGCGCGGCACGGCGGCGGGCGCCGUGGUCGCGCGAGGAAGAAGAGAACAGAG
rnacentral:lncRNA from 1 species